rnacentral:rRNA from 1 species
UACAGAGGUCCCAAGCGUUGUUCGGAUUCAUUGGGCGUAAAGGGUGCGUAGGCGGCCAACUAAGUCGGAUGUGAAAUCCCCAGGCUCAACCUGGGAACUGCAUCCGAUACUGGAUGGCUUGAAUUCGGGAGAGGGAUGCAGAAUUCCUGGUGUAGCGGUGAAAUGCGCAGAUAUCAGGAGGAACACCGGUGGCGAAGGCGGGUCUCUGGGCCUUACCUGACGCUGAGGAGCGAAAGCGUGGGGAGCGAACAGG